AGAGUUUGAUCCUGGCUCAGGAUGAACGCUGGCGGCGUGCUUAACACAUGCAAGUCGAACGAAGAUAUUAAGAAUGAGAGCUUCGGCAGGAAUUUUUUCUAUCUUAGUGGCGGACGGGUGAGUAACGUGUGGGCAACCUGCCCUGCACUGGGGAAUAAUCAUUGGAAACGAUGACUAAUACCGCAUACGGUUCCUGGGAGGCAUCUUCCGGGAAAGAAAGGAUUUAUUCGGUGCAGGGAUGGGCCCGCAUCUGAUUAGCUAGUUGGUGAGAUAACAGCCCACCAAGGCGACGAUCAGUAGCCGACCUGAGAGGGUGACCGGCCACAUUGGGACUGAGACACGGCCCAAACUCCUACGGGAGGCAGCAGUGGGGAAUAUUGCACAAUGGGCGAAAGCCUGAUGCAGCAACGCCGCGUGAAGGAAGAAGGGUUUCGGCUCGUAAACUUCUAUCAACAGGGACGAAAGAAAUGACGGUACCUGAAUAAGAAGCCCCGGCUAACUACGUGCCAGCAGCCGCGGUAAUACGUAGGGGGCAAGCGUUAUCCGGAAUUACUGGGUGUAAAGGGUGAGUAGGCGGCAUGGUAAGCCAGAUGUGAAAGCCUUGGGCUUAACCCGAGGAUUGCAUUUGGAACUAUCAAGCUAGAGUACAGGAGAGGAAAGCGGAAUUCCUAGUGUAGCGGUGAAAUGCGUAGAUAUUAGGAAGAACACCAGUGGCGAAGGCGGCUUUCUGGACUGAAACUGACGCUGAGGCACGAAAGCGUGGGGAGCGAACAGGAUUAGAUACCCUGGUAGUCCACGCUGUAAACGAUGAGUGCUAGGUGUCGGGGAGGAAUCCCCGGUGCCGCAGCUAACGCAAUAAGCACUCCACCUGGGGAGUACGACCGCAAGGUUGAAACUCAAAGGAAUUGACGGGGGCCCGCACAAGCGGUGGAGCAUGUGGUUUAAUUCGAAGCAACGCGAAGAACCUUACCAAGGCUUGACAUCCCGAUGACAGGUGUAGAGAUACGCUUUCCCUUCGGGGCAUCGGAGACAGGUGGUGCAUGGUUGUUGUCAGCUCGUGUCGUGAGAUGUUGGGUUAAGUCCCGCAACGAGCGCAACCCUUACCCUUAGUAGCCAUCAUUAAGUUGGGCACUCUAGGGGGACUGCCGUGGAUAACACGGAGGAAGGUGGGGAUGACGUCAAAUCAUCAUGCCCCUUAUGUCUUGGGCUACACACGUGCUACAAUGGCUGGCAACAAAGUGAAGCGAGACGGCGACGUUAAGCAAAUCACAAAAACCCAGUCCCAGUUCGGAUUGCAGUCUGCAACUCGACUGCAUGAAGCUGGAAUCGCUAGUAAUCGCGAAUCAGAAUGUCGCGGUGAAUACGUUCCCGGGCCUUGCACACACCGCCCGUCA
rnacentral:rRNA from 1 species